UGACUUAAAGUAGAAACUCGAAAGAGGGACGACCUGUAUCCAGUCAGGAGUUUUGCACAGGUGCUGCAUGGCUGUCGUCAGCUCGUGCCGUGAGGUGUUAGGUUAAGUCCUGCAACGAGCGCAACCCCUCGUCGCUAGUUGUUUUUCUCUAGCGAUACUGCCCGUAUAACGUGGAGGAAGGUGGGGAUGACGUCAAGUCAGCAUGGCCCUUACAUCCUGGGCUACACACACGCUACAAUGGGUGAUACAACAGGUUGCAAUAGAGUAAUCUGGAGCUAAUCCCUAAAAUCAUCCUCAGUACGGAUUGCAGGCUGAAACUGCCUGCAUGAAGUUGGAGUUGCUAGUAAACGCAGGUCAGCACACUGCCGUUGAACUACGUUCUCGGGCCUU
rnacentral:rRNA from 1 species